rnacentral:rRNA from 1 species
ACGCUGGCGGCGUGCCUAAUACAUGCAAGUAGAACGCUGAAGGAGGAGCUUGCUUCUCUGGAUGAGUUGCGAACGGGUGAGUAACGCGUAGGUAACCUGCCUGGUAGCGGGGGAUAACUAUUGGAAACGAUAGCUAAUACCGCAUAAGAGUAGAUGUUGCAUGACAUUUGCUUAAAAGGUGCACUUGCAUCACUACCAGAUGGACCUGCGUUGUAUUAGCUAGUUGGUGGGGUAACGGCUCACCAAGGCGACGAUACAUAGCCGACCUGAGAGGGUGAUCGGCCACACUGGGACUGAGACACGGCCCAGACUCCUACGGGAGGCAGCAGUAGGGAAUCUUCGGCAAUGGACGGAAGUCUGACCGAGCAACGCCGCGUGAGUGAAGAAGGUUUUCGGAUCGUAAAGCUCUGUUGUAAGAGAAGAACGAGUGUGAGAGUGGAAAGUUCACACUGUGACGGUAUCUUACCAGAAAGGGACGGC